GCCAGUUUCUCCAGCAUCAUUUAUUAAAGAGACUAUCUUUCUUCUAGUGAAGGUGUUUGGCCCCAUUGUCAAAGUUUUAGAAUCAUCUGUAGCUACAAAAAAAAAAAAAUCUAACUGGGAUUUGGUAGAAAUUGCUGCCAAGCAACUCAACUCAGCCCAGUCAUUCUGUGAACUGAGAUCCACACCAAACUACUAGCUGUGCUCCAGACAGUGGAGUUGGGAACAAAAUAUCCCCAAAUGGAGCAAGUGUAAUUCUUCAGCCCUUGCUCCAGGUCAAGGCCUGAACACUUGACAGCUUUCAGCAACCAGAGAGAACCCAAGGCUUCAAAGCUUUCUUCUUCCCGGAUCGAUGAUGCAUCCCUGCUGACCUUGGCAUCUUGGCACCUGGCACCUUGUCCUCAUUGGUGGACAAGACAGCUGUAGCAGGGGUCAGGGCACGCCUGCUGCCUGCUCAAUACUUUUAGGCAGAGCUUUGCAUUCACUUUUACAUCUGAAUAAGGCUGCAACUGCCUUCAGCUCAAGCAAAAGAUCUAAUGUUUUGAGUCCACCCAAAACUCUCAAGGUUAUUAUUCUGGACCCAUUUAGUUUACCUUUAGGGAUUCCUUGACUCAGCAGCCACAGCCACACAGCCAAACAGCCACACAGCCAGUGCCAAAGAAUUGCUGUCCUAACAAUAUCCCUUCUUCUGCCCACCUGCCGGAGUCACAAUCAAGGCACCAUUUGGACAGUUUGUUUCAAUCCUACCUGUAGUUGCUGAGCCUCUACAUUAUUAGCUCAACCUCUCCACAUUAGCUCAACAAGGGUUGAAUGAACAAGGGUUCACUAGCAGGCAGGACAGUGGGAACUCUUAAUCUCUGCCAGCCCUUAUCCCAUACCUAUCACUUGUGUGAGACCCUUCACUACCAGAUUUCCAGGAGCCUUAUAUUUCCAUGGCCCAUGUAUUUUUUUUUCCCCCUCCAGAUAAUAUCAGCAUUGCAUCUUUGAUGUCAAAACUCUUGGACUCUGUUUUACCCUAUUUACAAACCAGUUAAGUCUGUCACAAGCUUAUCCAGGCUGACAAAAGACAUGCGACUCCUGGAUUAGAGGCAAGGGACUUUAUCAAUUAUGGCACCGCAUGCAGAAUACAUGGCAGCACAUUCCACAAGGGGAACACAAAGACCUGGAUGGAUACUCGGCAUGAGUGGCUUUGUACUGUACCAAGGAAGAGUCAGCAUAAGGAAUCUGUAUAUGGGAAACAGGUAGAAAUUGUCCACAAUAUCCCCAAACCUGUAAUCAUAUAACAGAAAAUACAUCUAGGAUCAGUUUCAGAAAGCAAAUGGGCUAUAAAUGAUACAUGAAGAUUUCAUCAUUUGAUCUGCUGCCUUCCAAACAAUCAAAAUGAAGGAUUACCAUUAAAAUAGCACCAAAUGGAAUACUAUUUAAAAAGGAGCAAAGGAGAGAGAAGUAGGGAGAACUGCUAUGGUAAGAUUAUUUAAAAAUCAUAUAUAACAGUGACAAUGGGAAUUUAAAUCUUAGAAGAUAAGUGCAUAAUUAAGAUUUCAUUAUCAUAUUUCUAUUUGCCACAAUUUCUACUUGUAGUGUUAUGUGUUUCAGAUAUUCUGUAUUUUAUUUAUUUAAUUUUUUCUCCCCGGUACUGGGGAUCAAACUCAGGACCUCGAACUUGGAAGGCAGGCACAGUGCCAGUGAGCUAAAUCCCCAGCCCAGUAUUCUGUAUUUUAAAAUGACACAUCAAAACAAUGAGGAAAAAAACAAGAAGCGUCAGAGUUUGAAAGGGAAGAAAAAAGCAACUGAGCAAAGCAUUUCUUUCUGCAUAAAUGUUAUUACUGUGAAAUUUUUCACCUUAGCAAUUGAUUAUACAUACUCUUUGUUGCUGCAAUAAUUUCAAAUAGGUUUUUUAAUAGAUUCAGACUGAAAUAACAGUAAACUAGAAACACAUUGUUAAUAAACAUUAUAUUCCUAUUAACAAAUUAGAAGAUAUCUUCCAAAACUCCAUGCUAUAAAUUGGUCAAAUUCUGUUGAUUAGUUAAUAAAAGUGGGAUGCAUUUAACAAUAUGUUAAUACUCCUAUCCCCAAAAUAGCUAAUUGUAGGCUCUGCUGAGGCAUUUUUGUUACAAAAUACAGAGAAAGCAUUGUUGAUAUUCUCAGCAGGCUUUAGCAUAGAUGAGGGUGCAAAUGCAAGCCAGGUUGCACUAAGGAGAAAAUAUAAAAAACACACAUAUAUACAAAACCAAAACAAAACAAAACCAACAACAAAAAAUCCCACCCUACAAAACAAUUACCUCAGGUGAUGCAAAUCCUAAAUAUUCCCAAUCCCAUGUUCCACCAGCAAAGCUACAAAGAAAUUAGACAUACCACAUGAUUAUUAUCAGUACUAUGAAGAACAUCCAACUAGACGUUUGCCCUUUGAGUAUUAUUUUCUUUUUUUCUUUUUUGUUUUGGUACUGGGGAUUGAACUUGGGUCCUUGUCCUUGUGCUUGUGAGGCAAGCAGCAGAACCACUGAGCUAAAUCCCUGGCCCUUGAGUAUUACUUUUAAUUCUUCUACUUAGAACUUCCUUAACCAAAGCAGAUUGACUAUUAAUAUAUAACAGAAAAGAAAAUUUCAUUAUUUUUUUCAAAUUCUAAAUUGUUUUAUAAUGGUGCAAAAUAAUGAAAAAAAUAAAAAUCACCACAUUACAACAAAGUAUUUUACGACUGCUCCUAUUUUUAAUAAUAAAAUUACUUAUAAAUAUUUAGGUAAAAAUAAGGCCAAAGAAAUUUCUAAUGCUCAUAGUCAUUAUGAAUAUGAAAAUAUGCUUCAAUUUAUAAUGGCAGAAGUAGUAUAAGUAUCUUAAAACAAGCAAAAUAAUUGCUCUUUUAGGGAUGCAUCUUGAUUGCUUAAAUAACUUUACUAAUAGCAGAUUUCUCAUUUCUUUACAACUUCCCAAGACAAAAGUAAAAACAUGACAAUAACAAGCUGGCAGUUUCCAAAUUCUACAUCACAUCUAUGACAGUCAUGACAUGACUAUAUCUAUUACACAUCUGAAAUGGUGCAUUAGAAUGAUUCUGAAUUAUGAGUUCACUUGAAAUGUGAAAUUAACCUAGCCUAAUUUAGUCUGACGAACUAUACACCAAUAAACAACAAAAAAGAAACACCAUGAAAAAUAGAAAUAAUGAGGGAAAAUAUCAUCAAAAAGAAGUUAACAUACUUUAUCAACUAUCCAUGUUUCAAAGCAGGUGGCGGAACCACUGAGCUAAAUCCCCAGCCCAACUAUCCAUGUUUCAGGUGUAAAUAACUUCCAAGAAUGUGAGGUAUAGUUGGAUAAAAAAUAAAACUGCUGCGAUUUGUUCUCAAGGUAGGAUGGUCUCUGCAGUGUAUAUCUUUUACCUGCGCCUUGGAGCUUCAGGUGAGUCUGCAGGAGCAACUCCACGAGCCACAGAGGCCAGGAAUUCUUGCCUCUUUUGCUGCACAAGGCAUGCUGCCUUGAUAAUCUUGUGGCGAGGUGUGCGAAGGUAAGGCCUAUUGACUUUUUGGGCAAGGUCUUCAGUAACCAUUUCUAGGUCUGUCUAUGGUAAGAAGAAAAUAAAAAGAUGAGUGGGUUAAUAAAUAACAAAUCCAGAGUCUAUCUGGUUUCUCAGUUAAAUUUAACUCUCUUGAAGUCAGAAAUUCAAAUUUUGAAAUGAUUUCUUAUUUCACAUAUUUUUAUUUUUGUACAUUUUUCCACAUUAGGAAAGAGAAAGGAUCAUAUAUAUGAAGUUAUUUUAAACCCAGGAAAAUAGCACUCAAUUGAUAAGCAUUAGUAGCAAUGCAGUUGUUAGAGAUUAUGAAGAAGUUGCUGAGUAUAGCAGCUGUUACAAGGAAUUCAUAAUUUGUCUACGUGAAAAAACUAUUUCAAAGCACGGCACAAAAAAUACAUCAUGCCAUGAUGCAGAUUACAUUUACAUGGUUAACGAAUUUGAAGCAAAGCAAGACAACUGUGAUUUGGGGUUAGAUCUGAAAGGCUUUAUGGAGAAAAUGAAUUUUGAGCAUUGAAAGAAAUGUGAGAUACAUGUUAAGCACAGGGCAGAUCAAAAGGACGCUAUGAAAAUUAUAAUGGGGAAGUCUGGUGACUUCAAAGAAAAGAAGAAUUUACAAUGAAGUUCAUUGGCUGUGGUGAUGUCAGUUGGCUUAGGUGUUUUUGUUUCUUUAAUACCGCAACUUUCAAAAUAAAUGGGUAAACAGUAAUUUUCUAAUGUAGUAUGUAAUGUGGUUGUUUCAUCUGUAAAGAUAAAAUUCUUAUUAUAUAAUUAUCAGUAAGUAGGCCAGAUUUCAACCUCAAUUAGCUUGAAACAAAAAAGAAAUGCUUUAAGAAAUGUUACCACAGCUCUGAAUUCACCCGAACUUAUAAUGACAUUUAAAUAUAAAGAAAAUUUCAGUUUAUUAUCAGUAACUUUAAAAACAAAAAUCAUUUUAAAAAGAAAAAUUACUAGUCACACCCAAAUCAGUGAAAAUUUAAGAGGCUGAAAAAUCUGUUUUCAUAAUAAUAACUGGUACCAUUUUCAUGUAAUUUUAAAAGGUGUCUUACUUGCAUAAGUUCAAAAAUUUCUUUCUUUGUGCUUUUAGGUUCUAAGAAAAAUCCAUAUGGAUAAGAACACUUGAGAAUACGCCGAGUUUUUAAGAGCACAUGAACUGCAUCUUCAAUGAAAGUGGUAUCUGGACAGCCUCCUUCAGCUAUAAAUUUUUACAGAAGCAGACUGGGACUGGAAUUUUCAUAUCUUCAUCAAAGAGAAAAAGGAAAACUUGGAAGAAUGUAAGGAUACUCUAAAGUAUAUUCAACUUAGUACCUCAUUAAAAUGAAGUCAUUUCCUUGGAUUGCUCCUCCACAUGCUGAAUGACUUCAUAGCGAGUACAUCUGUAAUAACCUCCAGUGGAAGAACUAUGUUUUUUCCAUUCUUCAAGGCAAAUCCAGCAAAAAUCAUACUUGCACUUCAAAAGAAAACAUAUGCAAACAUCUUCCUAUAUGAACAUGCAAAUGAUAGUUGGCUUUUCAGUCAACCAGUACGUAAUAAUUGAAUAAUCCUGUCUGUGUGACCAGAAACUAGUCUUAAAGACAUGCCCUCAUGUUUUCACUGUAUAUUUUAUCUGCAUUAUGGCAAGAUGUGGGGGGUAGUUUAAAACUGUUUGAAAGGAUAAAUUUAAAUGAAAACCAUAAUAUUAUAAAGUAAUCACAAAGAAUCAUUAAUAUCAACAGGAAGACUAGGGAUGUAGCUCAGUAUUACAUGGGGGGGUGGGGGGGGGCUGGGUUCAAUCCCUAGUACUGGGGAAAAAAAAUCAACAGGACAUUCUUCCCAAUAAUAAAACAAGUACUGAAUGAAUGUUUCAUUUUUCAAGUAUGUGGUAGAAUCUUACACUGGUUGGUCUAUAGUCCCACCCGGCUAUUUGAAAAACUCUGGCAACUUUGACAAAUUUGUUUUAAAACUGGAAUAAGUUUAAAAGGCCUCUAAGUAAAAUAGCUGACAUAAAAUCUAUUUCUCAUUUUAAAGAAAACUUCAUGUACUUGAAAAUACAUAUUUUUCUUUUGUGCUUAUGGAUUCUGAAUUAGGUAGAAAGAUCUUUACAUUCCAAGUAUAUGUUAUCUUCUGGUACUUUUACCAGUACUUUUGGUACUAGUUUAUUUUUUUUAAAGAAACAUUUAAGUUUUUGAGCCAUUAGAAAUUUAUCUGAAUAUGUAGUAUGCAGCAUAAAUUUAACUUCAUUUUUCUCCCCAUGUAGCUGCCCAGAGUUAUCCUAAUAGUAUUUACUGAAUAGUUCAUGCUUCUCCAUUGGUUAAGGAUGCUACUGUUACCAUGAAUAAACUCCCACACAUUGUAUCUAU